GGAACCCCACAGGUACCAUCCCUCACACUGCCUUAGUAAACACCAGCCCUGGGAACCCCACAGGUACCAUCACACUGCCUUAGUAAACACCAGCCCUGGGCACCCCACAGGUACCAUCACACUGCCUUAGUAAACACCAGCCCCCUGGGAACCCCACAGGUACCACCAUACUGCCUUAGUUAACACCAGCCCCCUGGGAACCCCACAGGUACCACCACACUGUCUUAGUUAACACCAGCCCUGGGAACCCCACAGGUACCACCAUACUGCCUUAGUUAACACCAGCCCCCUGGGAACCCCACAGGUACCACCACACUGUCUUAGUUAACACCAGCCCUGGGAACCCCACAGGUACCACCACACUGCCUUAGUAAACACCAGCCCUGGGAACCACCACACUGUCUUAGUUAACACCAGCCCUGGGAACCCCACAGGUACCAUCACACUGCCUUAGUAAACACCAGCCCUGGGAACCCGACAGGUACCACCAUACUGCCUUAGUUAACACCAGCCCCCUGAAGAACCCCACAGGUACCACCAUACUGCCUUAGUUAACACCAGCCCCCUGGGAACCCCACAGGUACCACCAUACUGCCUUAGUAAACACCAGCCCUGGGAACCCCACAGGUACCAUCACACUGCCUUAGUUAACACCAGCCCCCUGGGAACCCCACAGGUACCAUCACACUGCCUUAGUAAACACCAGCCCUGGGAACCCCACAGGUACCAUCACACUGCCUUAGUAAACACCAGCCCUGGGAACCCCACAGGUACCACCAGCCCCCCUGGGAACCCCACAGGUACCAUCACACUGCCUUAGUAAACACCAGCCCUGGGAACCCCACAGGUACCAUCACACUGCCUUAGUUAACACCAGCCCCCUGGGAACCCCACAGGUACCAUCACACUGCCUU